rnacentral:rRNA from 1 species
AUUGAACGCUGGCGGCAGGCCUAACACAUGCAAGUCGAGCGAGCGGCGGACGGGUGAGUAUUGUAUGGGGACUGCCCGAUAGAGGGGGAUAACAACAGGAAACGGUAGCUAAUACCGCAUACUAUCGGAUAACCCAUAUGGGAUUAGCUGGUUGGUGAGGUAAUGGCUCACCAAGGCGACGAUCCCUAGCUGGUCUGAGAGGAUGAUCAGCAACACUGGGACGGAGACACGGCCCAGACUCCUACGGAGGCAGCAGUGGGGAAUAUUGCAAAAUGGGCGCAAGCCUGAGGCAGCCAUGCCGCGUGUAUGAAGAAGGCCCUAGGGUUGUAAAGUACGUUCAGUCGGGAGGCGUUACCGGCAGAAGAAGCACCGGCUAACUCCGUGCCAGCAGCCGCGGUAAUUC